GACGAACCGUGCGAACGUUGUUCGGAAUCACUGGGCUUAAAGGGCGCGUAGGCGGGCCGUCAAGUCUGGGGUGAAAUGCCGCGGCUCAACCGUGGAACUGCCUUAGAUACUGACGGCCUCGAGGAAGGUAGGGGCAUGCGGAACUGUAGGUGGAGCGGUGAAAUGCGUUGAUAUCUACAGGAACUCCGGUGGCGAAAGCGGCGUGCUGGACCUUUUCUGACGCUGAGGCGCGAAAGCUAGGGGAGCAAACGGG
rnacentral:rRNA from 1 species